UACAAACGCAUGCAAAUUUUGACACAUU
rnacentral:piRNA from 2 species